rnacentral:rRNA from 1 species
UCAGGAUGAACGCUAGCGGCAGGCUUAACACAUGCAAGUCGAGGGGCAUCGGGAGUAGCAAUACUCGCCGGCGACCGGCGCAAGGGUGCGUAACGCGUGAGCAACAUGCCCGUAUCAGGGGGAUAAUCCAUGGAAACGUGGUCUAAUACCCCAUAGUAAUUAUGUAAGGCAUCUUAUAUAAUUUAAAGCUUUGGUGGAUACGGAUUGGCUCGCGUGACAUUAGCUAGAUGGUAAGGUAACGGCUUACCAUGGCUACGAUGUCUAGGGGUUCUGAGAGGAAGGUCCCCCACACUGGAACUGAGACACGGUCCAGACUCCUACGGGAGGCAGCAGUGAGGAAUAUUGGACAAUGGAUGGAAAUCUGAUCCAGCCAUGCCGCGUGCAAGGAAGACGGCCCUAUGGGUUGUAAACUGCUUUUGUAUGGGAGCAAUAAGGGCUACGUGUAGUCCGAUGAGAGUACCAUACGAAUAAGCACCGGCUAACUCCGUGCCAGCCGCCGC